UACGUAGGGCGCAAGCGUUGUCCGGAAUUAUUGGGCGUAAAGCGCACGUAGGCGGCUUUGUAAGUUAGAGGUGAAAGCCCAGGGCUUAACCCUGGAAUUGCCUUUGAGACUGCAUCGCUAGAAUUGUGGAGAGGUAAGUGGAAUUCCGAGUGUAGAGGUGAAAUUCGUAGAUAUUCGGAAGAACACCAGUGGCGAAGGCGACUUACUGGACACAUAUUGACGCUGAGGUGCGAAAGCGUGGGGAGCAAACAGG
rnacentral:rRNA from 1 species